rnacentral:rRNA from 1 species
ACUCGAGUGGCGAACGGGUGAGUAACACGUGGGUGAUCUGCCCUGCACUUCGGGAUAAGCCUGGGAAACUGGGUCUAAUACCGGAUAGGAGCCAUUUUUAGUGUGAUGGUUGGAAAGUUUUUUCGGUGUAGGAUGAGCUCGCGGCCUAUCAGCUUGUUGGUGGGGUAAUGGCCUACCAAGGCGGCGACGGGUAGCCGGCCUGAGAGGGUGGACGGCCACAUUGGGACUGAGAUACGGCCCAG